GACGAACGCUGGCGGCGUGCUUAACACAUGCAAGUCGAACGGAAAGGCCCUGCUUUUGUGGGGUGCUCGAGUGGCGAACGGGUGAGUAACACGUGAGUAACCUGCCCUUGACUUUGGGAUAACUUCAGGAAACUGGGGCUAAUACCGGAUAGGAGCUCCUGCUGCAUGGUGGGGGUUGGAAAGUUUCGGCGGUUGGGGAUGGACUCGCGGCUUAUCAGCUUGUUGGUGGGGUAGUGGCUGACCAAGGCUUUGACGGGUAGCCGGCCUGAGAGGGUGACCGGCCACAUUGGGACUGAGAUACGGCCCAGACUCCUCCGGGAGGCAGCAGUGGGGAAUAUUGCACAAUGGGCGGAAGCCUGAUGCAGCAACGCCGCGCGCGGGAUGACGGCCUUCGGGUUGUAAACCGCUUUCGCCUGUGCCGAAGCGUGAGUGACGGUAAUGGGUAAAGAAGCACCGGCUAACUACGUG
rnacentral:rRNA from 1 species